UUUUCCUACGGGGGGCAGCAGUGGGGAAUAUUGCACAAUGGGGGGAACCCUGAUGCAGCGACGCCGCGUGGGUGAGGAAGUACUUCGGUAUGUAAAGCCCUAUCAGCAGGGAAGAAAAUGACGGUACCUGACUAAGAAGCCCCGGCUAACUACGUGCCAGCAGCCGCGGUAAUACGUAGGGGGCAAGCGUUAUCCGGAUUUACUGGGUGUAAAGGGAGCGUAGACGGCGUGCCAAGUCUGAUGUGAAAGGCCGGGGCUCAACCCCGGGACUGCAUUGGAAACUGGCGGGCUAGAGAGCAGGAGAG
rnacentral:rRNA from 1 species